rnacentral:rRNA from 1 species
AUUGAACGCUGGCGGCAGGCCUAACACAUGCAAGUCGAACGAGUGGCGGACGGGUGAGUAAUGUCUGGUAAACUGCCUGAUGGAGGGGGAUAACUACUUGAAACGGUAGCUAAUACCGCAUACCAUCGGAUGUGCCCAGAUGGGAUUAGCUAGUAGGUGGGGUAAUGGCUCACAUAGGCGACGAUCCCUAGCUGGUCUGAGAGGCUGACCGGCCACACUGGAACUGUGACACGGUCCAGACUCCUCCGGAAGGAAGCAGUGGGAAAUAUUGCAAAAUGAGCGCAAGCCUGAUGCAGCCAGGCCGCGUGUAGGAAGAAGGCCUUCGGGUGGUAAAGUACUUUCAGCGGGGAGGCGUUACCCGCAGAAAAAGCACCGGCUAACUCCGUGCCAGCAGCCGCGGUAAUUC